rnacentral:misc_RNA from 1 species
GAUGAAGAACGUAGCGAAAUGCGAUAAGUAAUGCGAAUUGCAGAAUUCAGCGAGUCAUCGAAUCUUUGAACGCAUAUUGCGCUCUUUGGUAUUCCGAAGAGCAUGCUUGUUUGAGUAUCAGUAAACACCUCAAAGCUUUUGGAUUUUUUAAUCGAAAAGCUUUGGACUUGAGCAAUCCCAACACCAAUCUUUUUGAGAUCGGUGGCGGGUUGCUUGAAAUGCAGGUGCAGCUGGACAUUCUCCUGAGCUAAAAGCAUAUUCAUUUAGUCCCGUCAAACGGAUUAUUACUUUUGCUGCAGCUAACAUAAAGGGAGUUUGACCGUAUUGGCUGACUGAUGCAGGAUUUCACAAGGGUCGGCAACGAUUCUUGUUAAACUCGAUCUCAAAUCAAGUAAGACUACCCGCUGAACUUAAGCAUAUCAAUAAGCGGAGGA